UCCUCUGAGCCAAGGCUCUCAGGAGCAGCGCCUGGACCUCGCUGGCCAGCACCGCAGACAAGCUGGGCCCAGAGAUGAGCUCCCUCCCAGGGGCGGUGUCGGGAGUGACAGCUCCGGGAAGUGGCCACUAGGUGGCGUGUGCGCCUUACUUCCUUCCCAGGUUUCCAGCCGGGGGAGGCAGAGGGUGGGGAUGGGGUUCCAGGAAGCCGAAGGUCCUUUCACAGGUGGACCGUUAAGCCAGCCCAGGGGACGGCAGAGCAGCCUGAGGAAGCAAGAACUGUCACCACGGUCUGCCCGGGAAGCACUGAGGUGAUGCUGGGGUUGCAGUGAGCUGUUGAACUAGAUGUGUCAGAAAUGAGAAAGGAGAUGAGAGAACAAAUUAGAAUACAGAGUGAUCGACACUUUGAUGAAGGAAGUAGAUGGAGCCUGGGGUCCAUGAAACCCACUGCCAAACCAACCCAGACAGAGACAAAGUAUCCCUAUGUUUCCCAGUCUGAUCUCAAACUCCUGGCCUGAACUGAACUCCUGCCUCAACCGACCUCCUGCCUCAACCUCCAAAGCACUGGGAUUAACAGCAUAAGCCACUGUGCCCAGCCUAAUUUUUAUUUUUCAACUUUGUACAUUAUGGUGUUUUUAAUACCCCUGCCAAGACCACAGUUUUAGGUAAACCGCCAUCCUGCCUAUACCCAUGUUCCUGUUCCCUUUCCUAGCUGUGUGGCCUUGGGAAGGUCACUUGCCUCACUAGGCAUCAACUUGCUCUGCUAUUAAACGGGGACAACAGAACCCCGUGAGACACUCUGACAAUCACAUGAGGCUACGUGAAUAAAACGUGGGCCUAGUACAUAGCAAGUGUGCAGCAGCUGCUCACUAGUCUUUCAACAAGUAGUGACUGAGAGUCUAUUACAUGCAGGCACAGGCAUAGGUGCUGGGGAUACAAGAAUGAGCAAAGCACUGGUAACGGGAUAGGCUGACGGUAAUGGGAUAGGCUGAUGGUAACAGGACAGACUGCUGCCAUAUUGGAAAUUCAGAAAACUCCCCGCCCUCCUAGUGGCAGGAGGUACAGCAAGCCAGCAAGGAAGUAAAAUACACUGGAUGUCAGAGGGUGGUGCUCAGUGUUGUGUGAGCAUCAAAGCAAAGAAAAGAAGAAGGGUGCUGAGCAGGGCUUAGAGAUUUAAAUAAAGCCAUCAAGGAAAACGUUGCAGAGAAGAUAAUAUUUGAAUAAAAACUCAAAGAAGGUAAGAGUACAAAUUAUGCUGAUGUCGGUUUUGUCCUCCAUCCCGCCCCCACCGUCUCUACACAGUCCUCUGCUCCCCACCCCCACCUACCCUCUCCGCAGCUCCUAGAACAGUGCUCUGCACAAAGUAGGUGGCCGAUAAAAAAUAUUAUGAGAUUAACAAGUCUUAGGGAAAAGCAUCUGUGGUCAGGGGAACAGCAUGUGUAAAGGACACGAGGCAUGAGGACCACGAAAAACAGUCAAGCUGAAAUGUACCAGGACACUGGGGGCUGCCUUAUACAUGAGGGUUUGGAUGCAGGUCACAGGGUCCCAUUUGGUUUGGCCAGGCUCUGGCCUGGAGUGACCCUGGGUCAACCUUCGCUGACAUGGUGGACAUCUCUACAUGCUUGACACCUGCCACUACUCCAGGACAAUCCUGCCCUUUGUCUCCACAAGAAGGAAAUAGCCUUUUUGAAUAAAAGCCUGGAAGCUGACCUCUCCUCUGCCCCCAGCAGGCUGACUUUUCCCUAGAGUGGAAGGUGACAGGCAUUCACAUUCCACUCCUGUCUCAGACAAGCGACAGAGAAUUUAAGAUGGCUGGAUGGGUUUUGCUGGUAAUGGGAUAGACCGAUGGCGUAUUGGAAAUUCACAUUUAAAAUACAGCUCUCCUUUCUGUAAAAUGAGAUAGCAUCUACCAAUUCGGGUAAUGAAUACAUAACUUAAAUGCAAGCCAUGGGAGUUUGGAAGAAGGGCCCAGGUAGUUUCAGGUGGUUCGGCCCAUUUCGGUACACAGCACAGAGCCCUCUCCUCUCCCUCCAAUAAUUUUAUUUCUUAGAAAAAUCAUUACUGAGAAUAUUGAACUCCCUUACAGAGAUGUAUUUGCUCCCCUUAUCUUCCUUCCGUCUUUCUUGAUUAAAAGCUAUGUGUGAUAUUUGUAGUUAUCAAACAUCAAUAUUUGGCAUGGAUUUGCGAAAUGGAUA